rnacentral:rRNA from 1 species
UGAGGAAUCUUCCACAAUGGGCGAAAGCCUGAUGGAGCAACGCCGCGUGCAGGACGAAGGCCUUCGGGUCGUAAACUGCUUUUGUUAGCGAAGAAUUUGACGGUAACUAACGAAUAAGAAUCGGCUAACUCCGUGCCAGCAGCCGCGGUCAUACGGAGGAUGCAAGCGUUAUCCGGAGUGACUGGGCGUAAAGAGUUGCGUAGGUGGUUAUGUAAGCGAAUAGUGAAAUCUGGUGGCUCAACCAUACAGACUAUUAUUCGAACUGCAUAACUCGAGAAUGGUAGAGGUAGCUGGAAUUUCUAGUGUAGGAGUGAAAUCCGUAGAUAUUAGAAGGAACACCAAUGGCGUAGGCAGGCUACUGGACCAUUUCUGACACUAAGGCACGAAAGCGUGGGGAGCGAACC